UCAGGUUUCACCUGAUGAACA
rnacentral:snRNA from 1 species